rnacentral:rRNA from 1 species
UACGUAGGGCGCAAGCGUUAUCCGGAAUUACUGGGCGUAAAGCGCGUGUAGGUGGUGGGACAAGUCUGCUGUGAAAGCGCCUGGCUUAACCGGGCGAGGUCGGCGGAAACUGUUCGACUCGAGGACGGUAGAGGGGGGUGGAAUUCCCGGUGUAGUGGUGAAAUGCGUAGAGAUCGGGAGGAACACCUGUGGCGAAGGCGGCCCCAGGUCGGCC